rnacentral:rRNA from 1 species
CCUACGGGAGGCAGCAGUGGGGAAUAUUGCACAAUGGGGGAAACCCUGAUGCAGCGCCGCCGCGUGAGCGAUGAAGUAUUUCGGUAUGUAAAGCUCUAUCAGCAGGGAAGCAAAUGACGGUACCUGACUAAUAAGCCCCGGGUAACCACGUGCCAGCAGCCGCCGUAAUCCGUAGGGGGCAAGCGUUAACCGGAUUUACUGGGUGUAAAGGGAGCGUAUACGGGGGUGCAAGCCAGAUGUGAAAGACUGGGGGUCAACCCCGGUAGUGCAUUUGGAACUGUGCUGCUAGAGUGUCGGAGAGGUAGGCGGAAUUCGUAGUGUAGCGGUGAAAUGCGUAGAUAUUAGGAGGAACACCAGUGGCGAAGGCGGCAUGCUGGAGGAUGACUGACGUUGAGGCUCGAAAGCGUGGGGAGCAAACAGGAUUAGAUACCCGGGUAGUC